GACGAACCGUGCGAACGUUGUUCGGAAUCACUGGGCUUAAAGGGCGCGUAGGCGGGUGACCAAGUCCGGGGUGAAAUCCUCCAGCUCAACUGGAGAAGUGCCUCGGAUACUGGUUGUCUUGAGGAGGGUAGGGGGCAUCUGGAACUAGCGGUGGAGCGGUGAAAUGCGUUGAUAUCGCUAGGAACUCCGGUGGCGAAGGCGAGGUGCUGGACCCUUUCUGACGCUGAGGCGCGAAGCCAGGGGAGCGAACGGG
rnacentral:rRNA from 1 species